rfam:Gorilla gorilla gorilla genomic chromosome, chr16, whole genome shotgun sequence
GCUGGGUAUGGUGGCGUGUGCCUGUAAUCCCAACUACUCAGGAGGCUGAGGCAGGAGAAUCGCUUGAAUCCGGGAGGCGGAGGUUGCAGUGAGCCGAGAUCGUGCCACUGCACUCCAGCCUGGGUGAAAGAGUGAGACUCUGUCUCAC